rnacentral:ribozyme from 1 species
ACAACCCGCAAGGCCGACGCAUAACGCGCCGCUGGUGCAAGCCCAGCCGUCCCACAUGGGGCGGGCGCUCAUGGGUACGCA